UACAGAGGGAGCAAGCGUUAUUCGGAAUUAUUGGGCGUAAAGGGCGCGUAGGCGGCCCAGCAAGUCUUGGGUGAAAUCCCUCGGCUCAACCGAGGAACUGCCCUGGAAACUGCUGGGCUUGAGGCCGGGAGAGGGUGGUGGAAUUCCCAGUGUAGCGGUGAAAUGCGUAGAUAUUGGGAGGAACACCAGUGGCGAAGGCGGCCACCUGGACCGGUUCUGACGCUGAGGCGCGAAAGCGUGGGGAGCAAACAGGAUUAGAAACCCCCGUAGUCC
rnacentral:rRNA from 1 species